rnacentral:rRNA from 1 species
GAUUACGACCAUACCGCGU